rnacentral:rRNA from 1 species
UACGUAGGGGGCAAGCGUUGUCCGGAUUUAUUGGGCGUAAAGAGCGUGUAGGCGGCCAGAUAGGUCCGUUGUGAAAACUCGAGGCUCAACCUCGAGACGCCGAUGGAAACCAUUUGGCUAGAGUCCGGAAGAGGAGAGUGGAAUUCCUGGUGUAGCGGUGAAAUGCGCAGAUAUCAGGAAGAACACCCGUGGCGAAAGCGGCUCUCUGGGACGGUACUGACGCUGAGACGCGAAAGCGUGGGGAGCGAACAGG